UCAAUUUUCUAAAACUCCCGCCGCACGUAUUUCAUUAAUUUUCAUCUCUUCUCCCGAAAUCCCUAAUUGGGGUCUUCUUCAAAACCAAACCCAAGCUCUCGUGCAUCAGUGCAUAGCAGCGAUCUACCACCAAUCAACCUUUUGCAUUCGUUCAACCUCAGCAAAGCAAUUGACUCAUUGCAUUGCUUCCACUACAACAAAUCAACCACCUUCCAGUCAUCCCCUUUUAGUGUGUUUUUGGAUCUAGCAUAACACCGGUAUUGUUUUCAUCUAAACAUAUGCUUCCAGGUAACUUGAGUCUUGAGGCUGUUGUGAAUUAGCUUUUUAAACAUGAUGAUGCUACAUAGAUCAGAUGACUUUGGUAACUUGGAGCACUAAUGGAUCCGAGCAAGUCAAUUACAAAACUAAGGAAGAUGGAAAAUGGAAACAACAUACAUUACAGACUACAACAAAAACAUGAAGACUAUUACAUUGAAGACUAUGACUUAGAAGUAUUAUAUCAACUUGGUUGUUUUUGUGUUCUAGAAAAGUCAUACAUUUAUUUUAUUUGUUCACAUGUAUUAUCCUAUCUAAAGAACAUUUUCUCUAAGAAUUGUGAAUUCAUACAAAUUUGUAAAUUUUUUGGUA